NAACCUGGUUGAUCCUGCCAGUAGUCAUAUGCUUGUUUCAAAGAUUAAGCCAUGCAUGUCUAAGUAUGAACCACUCAUACGGUGAAACUGCGAACGGCUCAUUACAACAGUUAUCAUUUACUUGGUCAUUGGAUCUGAUCCUACAUGGAUAACCGUAGUAACUCCAGAGCUAAUACAUGCACAAACUCCCGCGUUUGAUGGGAGGCGUUUAUUAGAUUCAACCAAUCGGCUUUGCCGACCGGGUGAUUCAUAGUAACCGAGCGAAUCGCAUGGCCCCAGUGCCGGCGAUGAACCAAUCAAGUUUCUGCCCUAUCAGCUUUCGUCGGUAGGGUAUUGGCCUACCGAGGCUUCUACGGGUAACGGGGAAUUAGGGUUUGAUUCCGGAGAGGGAGCCUGAGAAACGGCUACCACAUCUAAGGAAGGCAGCAGGCGCGCAAAUUACCCAAUCUCAAUUCGAGGAGGUAGUGACAAGAAAUACCUGUUGACGGCUUCGGCUGUCAAACGGGAAUGAGGACAAUUUAGAAACCUUAUCGAGUAUCCAUUGGAGGGCAAGUCUGGUGCCAGCGGCCGCGGUAACACCAGCUCCAAUAGCGUAUAUUAACGUUGUUGCACUUAAAAAGCUCGUAGUCAGACUUUCGAGGGUGCCCCUGACGUUUGGCACCGGUGAUGCAUUUGCUCGCCGUUCAUGCCCGCAGGGAGCCCCUCCUGGACCCCACCCGAUCACUGCGAGCCGCCCGUGCUUCACGGCCGGGCGCGCCUCGUACGGGUACGUUCCUGUGAGCAAAUCAGAGUGUUCCAAGCAGGCAUACGCCUUGCAUGGUUGAGCAUGGAAUAACGAUGCGGGACUCCGGUCGCGCUUUGUUGGUGUGGGCGCAUCGGAGGACACGGUUAAUAGGGAUAGUUGGGGGCAUUCGUAUUCAGGUGUCAGAGGUGAAAUUCUAGGAUUACCUGAAGACGAACUACUGCGAAAGCAUUUGCCAAGGAUGUUCCCAUUGAUCAAGAACGAAAGUUAGGGGAUCGAAGACGAUCAGACACCGCCCUAGUCCUAACCAUAAACGAUGCCGACUAGGGAUUGGAGGAUGCUCCAUUACAUGACUCCUUCAGCACCUUCAGGGAAACUAAGAGUUCUUGGGUUGUGGGGGGAGUAUGGUCGCAAGGCUGAAACUUAAAGGAAUUGACGGAAGGGCACCACCAGGAGUGGAGCCUGCGGCUUAAUUUGACUCAACACGGGGCAACUUACCAGGUCCAGACGCAGGGAGGAUGGACAGAUUGAUAGCUCUUUCUUGAUUCUGUGGGUGGUGGUGCAUGGCCGUUCUUAGUUGGUGGAGUGAUUUGUCUGGUUAAUUCCGUUAACGAACGAGACCGAAAUCUGCUAACUAGCAGCGGGCGCCCCCGAGGCGACCCGGUAUCCUACUGCUUCUUAGAGAGAUUAUGGACGACAAGUCCAUUGAAACGUUCGGCAAAAACAGGUCUGUGAUGCCCUUCGAUGUUCUGGGCCGCACGCGCGCUACACCGGUGAGCUCAACGAGCGUGUCCUUGACCGAAAGGUCCCGGGGAAUCUUGUCAAAGCUCACCGUGAUUGGGAUAGUCUAUUGCAAUUUUUAGACUUCAACGAGGAAUUCCUAGUAAGCGCGAGUCAUCAGCUCGCGCUGACUACGUCCCUGCCCUUUGUACACACCGCCCGUCGCUCCUACCGAUUGGAUGAUGCGGUGAAGAUUCUGGACCGUGCCGGGCUUGCAUGGCGACUAGCGCGUCUCCUGGCUGCGGGAAGUUGUCUAAAUCUUAUCAUCUAGAGGAAGGAGAAGUCGUAACAAGGUAUCCGUAGGUGAACCUGCAGAAGGAUCANNNN
rnacentral:rRNA from 1 species